GUCUCAGUGCAAGCCGUAUUAAGGCGAU
rnacentral:sRNA from 1 species